GUCUUUUUGAUUAUAAUUUAAAGUCUAGCCUGCCCAAUGAAUUAUUCAAUGGCCGCAGUAUUUUAACUGUGCGAAGGUAGCAUAAUAAUUAGUUUUUUAAUUGAGAACUGGUAUGAAUGGCUGGACGAGAAAAUAGCUGUCUCAAUUUAAUUUAAAUUAGAAUUUUAUUUUUAAGUUAAAAAGCUUAAAUUUUUUUAAAAGACGAGAAGACCCUAUAGAGUUUUAUAUUAAAAUUAUAUUUAAUUUAUAAAGUAUUUGUUUUAUUUUAUUUAAUUUUAGUAUUUUAUUGGGGUGAUAUAAAAAUUUAAUAAACUUUUUAUUUUUUAAAACAUUAAUAUAUGAUUAAAUGAUCCAUUUUUUAUGAUUAAAAGAUUAAAUUACCUUAGGGAUAACAGCGUAAUUUUUUUUUAGAGUUCUUAUCGAAAAAAAAGUUUGCGACCUCGAUGUUGGAUUAAAA
rnacentral:rRNA from 1 species